rnacentral:rRNA from 1 species
ACGUACACUCCUACGGGAGGCAGCAGUGGGGAAUAUUGCACAAUGGGCGGAAGCCUGAUGCAGCAACGCCGCGUGCGGGAUGACGGCCUUCGGGUUGUAAACCGCUUUCGCCUGUGACGAAGCGUGAGUGACGGUAAUGGGUAAAGAAGCACCGGCUAACUACGUGCCAGCAGCCGCGGUGAUACGUAGGGUGCGAGCGUUGUCCGGAUUUAUUGGGCGUAAAGGGCUCGUAGGUGGUUGAUCGCGUCGGAAGUGUAAUCUUGGGGCUUAACCCUGAGCGUGCUUUCGAUACGGGUUGACUUGAGGAAGGUAGGGGAGAAUGGAAUUCCUGGUGGAGCGGUGGAAUGCGCAGAUAUCAGGAGGAACACCAGUGGCGAAGGCGGUUCUCUGGGCCUUUCCUGACGCUGAGGAGCGAAAGCGUGGGGAGCGAACAGGCUUAGAUACCCUUGUAGUCCCAUGAU